CUCAACAAAAAGAGAAAAAAAGGGAAAAAGUACUUUAGUGUUUGACAUUGAUUUGGUUGAUUUAUAUGCUCCGGGGAUUCAAAUGUGUUCUGAAAAUGGUGGGAAAAUUUAGAGAGAUGUUGAUUGGGAUAAUCUGCUUUUGAGGGUAAAAAAUGAAAAGGGCAACAUAUCAUUACAUGAGGCCUUGAUGAACGGUCACCAAGUUGUAGCUUAUUAUUUGAUCACGGUAGAUCCAGAAGUGUUAUGUUAUCUGAACAAUGAAGUGAAAUCAGCUCUGUUUCUAGCUGCUGAAGUAGGGUUUUAGGAACUUGUCACGCAUAUUCUAUGUGAUACAGUUGGGAUUGAAAAUACAAAUGAAAGACUUAAAGGGUAAUCACCUAUUCAUGCUGCCAUUUUAAAAAGAAACCGAGGUGUUUUUGAUGCCUUAUUGAAAUCAGAACCAAGGUUCAUUCGAUUAAGAGAUAAAGAAGGAAGAACUCCACUUCACCUGAUUGCAUGAUUGGGCUAUCUUGAAGAGGUUCAGUACUUGUUAGGAAGACAGAGUUCAGGUGCUAUUGCAAGGGACAACAAUGGCUUACUUCCUAUUCAUUUAGCAUCAAUUAAAGGCCAUGUUGAUGUUGUUCGGGGGUUGCUUCAGUAUUGGCCUGAUUCGAGGGAACGGCUCAACUGUCAUGGUCAAAAUAUUCUUCAUGUUGCAGCCAAGAGCAGAGGACAUAACAUGGUUAGUUACAUUCUCCAAACUCCUGAGGUCGAGAAGUUUUAUAAACAUGAGGGAUAAGCAUGGAAACACAACCUUGCAUUUGGCCACCUUGGAUUGGCAUCCAAAGAUUGUUGGUACCCUAACAUGGGAUGAAAGAGUGGACUUAUAGUGAAUAAUGAGGGUAUGUCUGCUCUUGAUUCUGCUGAAUACUACAUGGAAAGAAUGUCCUCAUUUCGAAAGUCCAUAUAUACAAUCUCGAAAUGCUUCUUCACUUAGUGUGCUAAAGCUAAAGUUCUCCAAAGGUUGUCUGUGUGUGAACAUUCUUUUUCAUAGUACUACGAAUUAUUAUUUAGCAUUGACUGGAAGGAAUUUUAAUGGCCUGCUAUUUCAAUAGCCAUUAGGUGGUCAUAGUUUAAAUUUGUGGGACAUUUUUAUCUUGCGACGGUUAACAUGGACUGCAUUGAAGGCUGCUGGUGCACCACUAGCUUACUGUUGAAAAGCCGUCAAUGCUAAAAAGAAACAAGCAUCUAUGCAACUGGAGCAAGUGAACAUAGACAGCUAUAAGGACCGAUUCAACACUCUUCUAUUGGUGUCCACCCUCAUUGCCACUGUAACUUUUGCAGCUGGUUGCACAAUACCCAGUCGUUAUAACAACAUUGAACCUGACCAAGGCAUGCCAACUAUGCUAAAACACAAGUGGUUUCACAUAUUCAUUUUCUGUGACACCAUAGCUCCAUUAAUACUGCUGUUACCCUCAUAUGGGCACAAUUAGGGGACCUCAAUUUGGUGCUUACUGCCUACAGAUUGGCGGCACUACCACUACUGGGGAUCACUCUCACCAAAGCAAGGAGGAAAUGAUAUCAAUAGAGAUAUUUCCUCUUUUAAUUUAUUUGAUUUGUUGGUUAAUUGAGUUCCUUUUGUUUGCUUUUGGUCUUAUAUGUUGGUAUCUAAGUAGCUUGCCAGCAAGUAUGUAAUUGUACGUAAUGUUUUGAUAUUUUAGUGUUUUACAGUUAAUGUGGCUGUUAUAUGUUGGAGAUGAGUGGUUUUGUU